rnacentral:lncRNA from 1 species
GAUUAGCUACCAUUUUUCAUGAAGAAUUGUUUCUAGCUUAACUAUGUCAGUGAAGAAGGUUGCAUAGUGAGGUAGUGCUCUAGUCCUAAAUAGAUAUAGGUUUGUUUGAGUUUGUGAAUACCUUUAUUGUAAGAAUCUCCCUAACAUAGUGGAUUGCCUAGUUGGAGCGAAGACCCCUAAUUUUUCUCAAUGGUGGGUUUCUGGGUAAACAUGUUUGGUGUGAAUCUCUGACAUGAUGACGAAUGUUUGGUGUGAAUCUUAAUUGUUGCUAGCACAGGAGAUGCCUAGAUUGAUGGGUCAUUUUAAGUGCUUAGGUUGUCAAUUAGUCAUUGUUUAGGCUUGCAGAGGUAUGAGACUUGUGUUUGAUUGAGUGUGCUGAUUG